UCCGGUUUGUCACCGGCAGUCUCGUUAAAGUGCCCAACUGAAUGAUGGCAAUUAACGACAAGGGUUGCGCUCGUCGCGGGACUUAACCCAACAUCUCACGACACGAGCUGACGACAGCCAUGCAGCACCUGUGUUACGGUUCCCUUUCGGGCACUCUCCCAUCUCUGGGAGAUUCCGUAAAAGUCAAGGGUAGGUAAGGUGGGGAUGACGUCAGCCUAUCGAGA
rnacentral:misc_RNA from 1 species